AAAUUGAAGAGUUUGAUCAUGGCUCAGAUUGAACGCUGGCGGCAGGCCUAACACAUGCAAGUCGAACGGUAACAGGAAGAAGCUUGCUUCUUUGCUGACGAGUGGCGGACGGGUGAGUAAUGUCUGGGAAACUGCCUGAUGGAGGGGGAUAACUACUGGAAACGGUAGCUAAUACCGCAUAACGUCGCAAGACCAAAGAGGGGGACCUUCGGGCCUCUUGCCAUCGGAUGUGCCCAGAUGGGAUUAGCUAGUAGGUGGGGUAACGGCUCACCUAGGCGACGAUCCCUAGCUGGUCUGAGAGGAUGACCAGCCACACUGGAACUGAGACACGGUCCAGACUCCUACGGGAGGCAGCAGUGGGGAAUAUUGCACAAUGGGCGCAAGCCUGAUGCAGCCAUGCCGCGUGUAUGAAGAAGGCCUUCGGGUUGUAAAGUACUUUCAGCGGGGAGGAAGGGAGUAAAGUUAAUACCUUUACUCAUUGACGUUACCCGCAGAAGAAGCACCGGCUAACUCCGUGCCAGCAGCCGCGGUAAUACGGAGGGUGCAAGCGUUAAUCGGAAUUACUGGGCGUAAAGCGCACGCAGGCGGUUUGUUAAGUCAGAUGUGAAAUCCCCGGGCUCAACCUGGGAACUGCAUCUGAUACUGGCAAAAGCUUUGAGUCUCGUAGAGGGGGUAGAAUUCGGGUGUAGCGGUGAAAUGCGUAGAGAUCUGGAGGAAUACCGGUGGCGAAGGCGGCCCCUCGGACGAAGACUGACGCUCAGGUGCGAAAGCGUGGGGAGCAAACAGGGAUUAGAUACCCCGGUAGUCCACGCCGUAAACGAUGUCGACUUGGAGGUUGCUGCCCUUGAGGCGUGGCUUCCGGAGCUAACGCGUUAAGUCGACCGCACGGGGAGUACGGCCGCAAGGUUAAAACUCAAAUGAAUUGACGGGGCCCGCACAAGCGGUGGAGCAUGUGGUUUUAAUUCGAUGCAACGCGAAGAACCUUACCAGUCUUGACAUCCACAGAACUUUCCAGAGAUGGAUUGGUGCCUUCGGGAACUGUGAGACAGGUGCUGCAUGGCUGUCGUCAGCUCGUGUUGUGAAAUGUUGGGUUAAGUCCCGCAACGAGCGCAACCCUUAUCCUUUGUUGCCAGCGGUCCGGCCGGGAACUCAAAGGAGACUGCCAGUGAUAAACUGGAGGAAGGUGGGGAUGACGUCAAGUCAUCAUGGCCCUGCAUGACCAGGGCUACACACGUGCUACAAUGGCGCAUACAAAGAGAAGCGACCUCGCGAGAGCAAGCGGACCUCAUAAAGUGCGUCGUAGUCCGGAUUGGAGUCUGCAACUCGACUCCAUGAAGUCGGAAUCGCUAGUAAUCGUGGAUCAGAAUGCCACGGUGAAUACGUUCCCGGGCCUUGUACACACCGCCCGUCACACCAUGGGAGUGGGUUGCAAAAGAAGUAGGUAGCUAACCUUCGGGAGGGCGCUUACCACUUUGUGAUUCAUGACUGGGGUGAAGUCGUAACAAGGUAACCGUAGGGAACCUGCGGUUGGAUCACCUCCUUACCUUAAAGAAGC
rnacentral:rRNA from 1 species